rnacentral:rRNA from 1 species
GAGUUUGAUCGUGGCUCAGGACGAACGCUGGCGGCGUGCCUAACACAUGCAAGUCGAACGGACUGAUCUUGGUGCUUGCACCGGGAGAAAGUUAGUGGCGGACGGGUGAGUAACGCGUGAGUAACCUGCCUUUCAGAGGGGGAUAACGUUUUGAAAGAACGCUAAUACCGCAUGAAAUCAAGGAACUGCAUGGUUUUUGAUCAAAGGAGCAAUCCGCUGAGAGAUGGACUCGCGUCCGAUUAGC